GACGAACCGUGCGAACGUUAUUCGGAAUCACUGGGCUUAAAGCGCGUGUAGGCGGAUGGGGACGUCGGUCGUUGAAAGCCCCCGGCUCAACCGGGGAACUGGCACCGAAACGCCCCGUCUCGAGGGACGUAGGGGGACCUGGAACUUCCGGUGGAGCGGUGAAAUGCGUUGAGAUCGGAAGGAACGCCCGUGGCGAAAGCGAGGUCCUGGACGUCUACCGACGCUGAGACGCGAAAGCUAGGGGAGCGAACGGG
rnacentral:rRNA from 1 species